rnacentral:rRNA from 1 species
UGCGUAGGUGGUUGUUUAAGUCAGAUGUGAAAGCCCCGGGCUUAACCUGGGAACUGCAUUUGAAACUGGAUAACUAGAGUAUAGUAGAGGAAAGUAGAAUUUCUGGUGUAGCGGUGAAAUGCGUAGAUAUCAGAAGGAAUACCGACGGCGAAGGCAGCUUUCUGGACUAAUACUGACACUGAGGUACGAAAGCGUGGGUAGCAAACA